AUCACCGUGGCCAAGCGGUUAAGGCAUUGGACUCAAAACCCAGUGAGGUUUCCCUGCACAGGUUCGAAUCCUGUUUGUGAUG
rfam:Scleropages formosus scaffold16156, whole genome shotgun sequence.